rnacentral:tRNA from 2 species
GUGGGUGUAGCUCAAUUGGCUAGAGCGUCAGGUUGUGGCCCUGAAGGCAGUGGGUUCAAAUCCCAUCACUCACCCCA